CUCGUCUAUCCUAGCGUCUCUCUCUCUCUCUCUCUCUCUCUCUCUCUCACUCAUUUUCCUAAACCUUCGUUGCAUCUCCUCUCCAAAAACCCAAACCCUAGACCUUACCUUCUUUGAAUCUACUCGCCAAAACCCCCAACCCUAGACCUCACCUUCUCGUCUCUCCUCUAGGGUUUAAGGUCUUGAAUCGCAGAAAGAUCGGAUGUUGUUGCAGAGUGAAUAUAAUGCGUAGCAUGAACUGAAGACAACUACCUUCAAUCAGUAUGGGUUUCGAUAUUGAGUGCAUACAGAAUAUCCAGUCUCUUGCCGGAGAAUACUUCUGUCCUGUUUGUCGCUUGCUCGUCUAUCCGGAUGAAGCAUUGCAAACACAAUGCACUCAUCUGUACUGCAAACCCUGCUUAGCUUAUGUUGUGAGCAACACCCACACCUGCCCCUACGAUGGCUACCCGGUGACAGAAGCAGAAACCAAGCCUCUCAAGGAAUCAAAUCAAGCGCUUGCUGAAACCAUAGGGCAAAUUGCAGUGACAUGUCUGUACCAUAGGAGUGGAUGCACAUGGCAGGGUCUGUUGUCAGAGAGUACUGCCCAUUGUGCUGGGUGCAGCUUCGGCAAUUCCCCUGUUAUGUGUAACAGGUGUGGAGCACAUAUUGUGCAUCGUCAAGUACUGGAACACUCACAGAUCUGCCUUGGUGAACAGCCUCUAGCACAACAAGUGGCGAAUGCGCCAGCUGCUGCAGAGCAGGGCCAAGCUGCUACUCCAGCAGGAGCAACUGCAUCCCAAGACCAGAACUCACAGAAUGUGACAGCUCCUGCAACUGGGCAAGGUCAAAGUCAAGCGGCUGUAAAUGCACAGCCACAGGCAGUGGCUCAGGCCCCGACACCAGAGCAGUGGUAUCAGCAACAGCAACAAUACUAUCAGCAAUACUAUCAACAGUAUCCUGGUUAUGACCCGUAUCAGCAGCAGUAUCAGCAGUAUGCACAAUAUCAACAACAGCAGUUGCAGGCUCAUCCCCAGCAGCAGGUAAUACAAGGGCAACCUCAACCUCAGCCAUACAUGCAGCCCCAGCACCAUCCCCAGCCACAGCCGCAGGCGCAGGCACCAGCUCAGCUCCAAUCUCAGCCCCAGCCCCAGCCCCAGCCCCAGCCCCAGCCCCAACCCCAGCCUCAGCCCCAGCCCCAGCCCCAACCCAUCUCCCAACCCCAGCCCCAGCCACAGCCCCAGCAGCACCCCCAACCUCAGAUGGCUGUGCAACCUCAAAUACAGCCACAAAUCAACCCACAACAGCAACUUCAUGGACCAGUGCAGCCCCAUCCUCAACUGCAACCACAAACGCAUCCACCACCCCAGUCGCAAAUGCAAUCACAACAGUUGGGUCAUCCCCAUCCUCAGCCACAUCCCCAAGCUCAUCCACAGUCGCACCCACAGCAACAUUCCCAGAUGCCGCAACAUCCUCAGCCUCAUUCCCAAAUGCCUCAUCUCCAGCCACAUCUCCAGCACCCACCGCAGCAGCAACCCCAACUUCAUCCACAUGUCCAUCCUCAGCCCCACCUCCAACAUCCUCCUCAUAUGCAGCUGCAGCAGCCCCAGCCUCAUCCGCAUCCUCAGGCUCAGCUGCAACCCCAGCCCCAGCCUCAUAACCAGCCACCUCCACAUUUCCAGCCCCAGCCCCAGUCCCAGUCCCAGCCCCAGUCCCAACAUCCACCAGCACAUGCUGUGACGGGGCACCAGUCUUACCCACAAGCUCGGCCUCACCAACAAAUGUUGCCAGGUGCUGCACAACAACAUCCCAUGCAUGCACAUCCCCAGCCCCAGGGUGCAGCCCACCAACCGCCUCAACAUCCUGGUCAAUUCCCGCCACAGCAGCCACCUCAGAUGCGUCCACACAAUCCUCCACCCCAGUCCCAUGCCCCGAUGCAACACCCACAACAACCUGCUAUAAUGCCUGCCCAAGGGCAGCUUCCAAAUGUUCCUCCUGUUCAGCAACAGCCAGCAUAUCAUCAGGCACAUCAUCCGGUUCAACAAAUCCAUCAUCACCCUGGAAUGCAGCUGCCUCAACAUCAACCCGUGCCUCAUCAGCAGGCUCAUGGGCUUGUGCAUCAGCCCCAGCCUUUUCCCGGGCCAGCACCUGCUUCAGUUCACAAUCAGCCACAUCAGCAGGGCCCUUUCGUGCCACAGCAACCUAUGCAACAACCUCAGCAAUCUUUACGUCCUCAGGCCCCACCGCCAUUGCAGCAGCAUGCUCAUGCCCAUCCACAAUGGCAGCAUAACAUUCCAUCAGCACAGGGUGUGCUGACUCAUCAAUCUCAAAGUCAUGCUGGGAGGCCUAUGAUGCCAAGUCAUGCUGCAAUGCACCAAUCCUUUCCACAUCCUUCUAGUGGUACGGCUGGACCAACCCAUGUUCAGGAUGCUCGUGUAAUGGCUAAGCCAGGGCAACAUGGUGCUGACCAAUUGCAAGAGUCUUCAAUGCCACGGUCUGGUAACCAAACCGCCUCCCUGGGUCUACACCCUGGGACAAAUGCUCCCCAGGUAUCUGCUGCCGAUGCUUCCAUGAAACCAACACACGAAGAUUCUGUGUCUGAGAAAAUUUCGAAGGUGCCUGAGUUGGAGGCUGAAGCGGUUGAUACUGAAGGAACAGAUGUUAAUGAUUCUCUAACUGCACGUAGUGAUGGAGCAGAUUCGGCUGAGUUAAAGAUUCCAAAGUCAGAAAACAAUUUGAAGUCUGGGCAUGGUGAAGAGAAUCUACUUAUUGAGACUGAAUACGGGGAUGCCUCAGCUGUUCAUGGAAAAGACGUGGAGUCAUCUGCACAGAAUGUCGAUUCAGAGGAGCCAUUAACUAAGCAGACAGUGAAGGAAGAAGCCACUGAACAGUCAGAGCCUUCACCAAGUGCCAUGUCAUCAGAUACUGUAAAUGAGGACAAAGGAGUUGCUUCUAAGCAGGAUGAGAGUUCCCUGCACGUGGUCAAGGAAGUCCCAGAAGGUUCACUGCAUGAAAACCUUUCUUCGCAACCAUCAGAGAAUCUUGAAGGGCAGAAUGUUAAGACGCAGCACAAUGCAGCUGAUCCUCAGAUGCCUCAAUCAUGGCCAGAUGCUAGAAGUGCCAUCCCUAGAGGACAUGUUCCUGGGAACGAAAGAAGCAGCAUGCAUGCUUCUACUCAACAUCUGCCAACUGUUGUCGGUUUUGACAGGAAUCCUUUGCAACAGCCUCCCCACCAGAAUGUUGGUCCAAGUCAUGAGAGGCCAUUACCCCGUCCUGGUUAUAAUGAUGGGAAUAUGCCCCAGUUCCAUCGCCAAGGGCCAGGCCCAGGCCCAGAUGAAUACAGGGGCUUGCCACCAGCUGGUCAGAUUCCAUCCAGGAACUUCACACAGCCUGCUCAUCAGGUACCAAUUCCUGAUCAAGAAAGAUACCAGCAGAUGCCUAUGCCUUAUGGGCAGCAUCUCCAUAUGCCAGAUCGUGGACCACAACGGCCUCCUGCUCCUGAUCGGAUGUUACCUACACCGUUGCCUCUUCCUGGGCCUAAUCAAGAGCGAAGGCUGCAAGAGCCUCCACCUCAUCAAACACAGGUGCAAGGGCAGCUGUUGGCCCCCAUGAGGCCUCAGGGCCCCCAACAGGGCCGUCCUUCAAUUGUCCAACAUCCUGGUUCCUUGCGUCAAGAAGUUCCACCUGGCAGCAUGCCUUAUCCAGGCAUGUCUGCCUCAUUUGGGAAGGAGCCAGGUCAUUUCGGUCUUCCACAGAGAGGUUUUGAGCCACGACCUGGCCUACCUCAAGGGCAUAAUCAAGGUCAUAUGGCCCUGCCACAUGCAGGUGGGCCCAGAUUUUCUCAAGGAGAACCUUUCGCUGGACCACCUCCUGGACCAUUCGAAUCUCCUGGAGGCAUGAUGGCGAGGGGGUCUCAAGGUCCUGAAGGUCAAAUUGGUCGGCACCAUCCCACUAAUCCCAUGGAGGCUGAAAUGUUUGCAAAUAAGAGGCCUGGUUUCUUUGAUGGUCGGCAGCAUGAUCCUCACCUGCCCUUAUCUGCAGAACGUGUUCCGUUUGGACAGUCCUCUGGUACAAGUAUGAUGAAAAUUAAUGGGGUUCCAGGCAAGGGUUUGGUUGGUGGCGUACCUGAUGCAUCGUUUCCACAUGGUGCGCAAGAGGAAAGAUUCAAGCCUUUUCCAGAAGAGAGGCAUAAACCCAUUUUGGAAGAAGGAUUCAAGCUGCCACCAGAAGAGCAGUUUAAUAAGCCUUUCUCUCUGGAGCAUGGUCGCCGUGCUAUCGAUCGAAGAGAGUUUGAGGAAGAUCUCAAACAAUUUCCUAGGCCUUCUCAUUUGGAUGGUGAUAAUGUUCCUAAGUUUGAAAAUCACUUCUCCUCAUCAAGGCAUUUUGAUAGGGGGCAACAUGGAUUUGGUAUGGACAGGCCACACGGUUUUGGUCGUGAUGCUGGACCCGAUGCAGGUGCCAGUUUUCCAGUUGGUAGUGGUGGUCCUUCAGUACAUCCAGUAGAUAUUGGAGAAAGAUCGAGGCCUAUUGCUCUUCAUGAUAACAUGGGGAAAAAGAUAGAUCCUGCUGGGGCCCACACAGAUAUCCUUGGACCUGUUUCAGAAUUUGGUCGGCAUCGUAUGGAUCUGCCUCCUCCAAGGAGUCCUGGUAGAGAUUACCCUGGCUUUCCCUCAAGAAGAUUCGGGAGCAAUUCGGCUGGUCUUGGGUUAGGUAGCCAUUCACGCCUUGAAGAUUUUGAUGGCAGAGAACCACAUGCUUUUGGGUCAGGCCCAUUGCCAAGCCAUUUACGCAGAGGCGAACUUGAUGGUCCUCGAAAUUUGCGAAUAGGUGAGCAGCUUGGAUCUGGUAAUCUGCCUGUCCAUUUAAGGAGUGGUGAAUUGGUUGGUCCAGAUAUUGUGCCUAGCCACUUACGGGGCAGUGAGUCUCUUGGCCCUGGUGGUCAUAUGCGCAGCGGUGAGCCAUUGGGUCCCCGUCACUUGUCCAGCCACUUGCGCAUUGGGGAACCAUUAGGACCAGAUCAAUUGCGUAUGCUUGAGCCAACAGGUUUUGGUGGACUUCCCAGCCAUUUACGGAUGGGUGAGCUGGCUGGGCCAGGGAAUUUGCCUCCACACUUGCGUAUUGGCGAGCCAGGAUUUGGUAGCAGUCUGCCUAUGUAUGGUUUGCCAAAUGAAAGUGGUUUUUUUAAUCAGGAUUCUAUUCAAAGUGACAUGGAGUCUUUUGAUCACCCAAGAAAGAGGAAAGCUGGGAGCAUGGGAUGGUGCCGCAUUUGCAAAAUUGACUGUGAAACAGUUGAAGGUCUGGAUCUGCAUUCACAGACAAGAGAGCACCAGAAGAUGGCGAUGGAUAUGGUUCUGAGCAUCAAGCAGGAUAAUGCAAAGAAGCAGAAAAUAUCUUCUGAAGACCGUGUUUCACUUGAAGAUGGAAACAAAUCUAGGAAGGCUGGCUUUGAGAGUCGUGGAAAUAGGCAUUAGAUUUGUCAACUGCUGCAAAAUGGAGGAAAUGGUCUAAUGCUAAUGAAGUUGAAUGGUUGCUGAUGGGGAUUCGUGUUUUGGUUCUUCAGCAAUUUUCCUCACAAAUGCGCAUAUUGGGCAUCUCCACUUUGCUACCUGCAGCCUAAUCAGCAUGUUAAAGGACAUGGUCUUUAACCUUUUCGGGCAUGCAAUUUUCCCUAGUUGUGCUGUCAUUAAAACAGUCCAGCCAUUCUUCAUUAUGUGGCCCCAUCGAUCAAUUUUGUCAUCCUUCGAGUUCCACAAUUCUGAUCAGCCAGAUUGUGGGGUUUACCUUUAUUCCUGUAUUGUAUAUUUUUCCAAUGGCAGGCUGUCAUAAGGUAUGCAAAAGAGAAAUGUUAAUGAUGUAGAAAUCUAGUUUGAGUUCUUUUUUAGUUAGCAUCUUUUUUCUUGGUAUUUUCAGUAGGCUUACUUUGCUCCUGUCUGUUGUUUUCUGGUUUCAUAUGUUCUGAACAUCAGAGUUUCCAAUACAUCAACCUGUUUGCCUUCUAGUUGGAUGUACCUAUAACAAUUAGCCCAUGUGCUCGAAAAUUUCAGAUGCAUCUUUGGUCUGAAAAUAUUAGUAGCUAGAUGCAUUGUUGCCAAAAGAAAAGGGGAAAAAAAAACCUGCAGCUAAGCAACAUGAUGACGGUGGAUUCCAUUCUUGGUUUGUUGAAACUAAGUAAAUUUGUCCAAGUUGACUCAAUGUCUACCAAGAUUGAACUGCAACUCUAACCCCUGGAAAUAUGAACACAUAGGGACUCAUCCUAUUUCAACUAAGUCCCUGUGUGACUCAUCCAUUUCGGCCUAUUUAGGCCAUUAUGAUGCGGAUAGGCCCUGUUUCUACACUGUCGAAUAUGUACUGCUUGAAGGGUGCUUGGAUGGAGAGACCAAAACAUGGACAUGAAAAGCCAAAAUGGAAGCAUCUGGAAAUGGAAAUAUGCGGAUUCCAAAAAUAAUCAUGUUUUUUGGUUUGCACAGCAGUUAGACAUGGAAAUGUUAAAAGUUGAAGGUCAAAUUGUGAGAGCUGGCUUUUGUAACCUUGGAAUUAGUGCUAUCAAAAUCCUACGAUUUACGAUAUAUACGAUUUUAGUCACAUCUUAAGCAAAAUGAUUUGAAUCCCACCUUUCCUUGAAUCUUGUUCUAUAUGAAUCCUACAAUUUACGAUUCAAAUCGUGAUUUAUGAUUCAAAUUACACUUGGGGCUUUAAGAAUCAUUUAGGAAAAAACUUGU